rnacentral:rRNA from 1 species
UAUUGCACAAUGGGCGCAAGCCUGAUGCAGCCAUGCCGCGUGUGUGAAGAAGGCCUUCGGGUUGUAAAGCACUUUCAGUCAGGAGGAAAGGUUAGUAGUUAAUACCUGCUAGCUGUGACGUUACUGACAGAAGAAGCACCGGCUAACUCCGUGCCAGCAGCCGCGGUAAUACGGAGGGUGCGAGCGUUAAUCGGAAUUACUGGGCGUAAAGCGUACGCAGGCGGUUUGUUAAGCGUGAUGUGAAAGCCCCGGGCUCAACCUGGGAACUGCAUUUCGAACUGGCAAACUAGAGUGUGAUAGAGGGUGGUAGAAUUUCAGGUGUAGCGGUGAGAUGCGUAGAGAUUUGAAGGAAUACCGAUGGCGAAGGCAGCCACCUGGGUCAACACUGACGCUCAUUACGAAA